GUUUGAUCAUGGCUCAGGACGAACGCUGGCGGCGUGCCUAAUACAUGCAAGUCGAACGAACUCUGGUAUUGAUUGGUGCUUGCAUCAUGAUUUACAUUUGAGUGAGUGGCGAACUGGUGAGUAACACGUGGGAAACCUGCCCAGAAGCGGGGGAUAACACCUGGAAACAGAUGCUAAUACCGCAUAACAACUUGGACCGCAUGGUCCGAGUUUGAAAGAUGGCUUCGGCUAUCACUUUUGGAUGGUCCCGCGGCGUAUUAGCUAGAUGGUGGGGUAACGGCUCACCAUGGCAAUGAUACGUAGCCGACCUGAGAGGGUAAUCGGCCACAUUGGGACUGAGACACGGCCCAAACUCCUACGGGAGGCAGCAGUAGGGAAUCUUCCACAAUGGACGAAAGUCUGAUGGAGCAACGCCGCGUGAGUGAAGAAGGGUUUCGGCUCGUAAAACUCUGUUGUUAAAGAAGAACAUAUCUGAGAGUAACUGUUCAGGUAUUGACGGUAUUUAACCAGAAAGCCACGGCUAACUACGUGCCAGCAGCCGCGGUAAUACGUAGGUGGCAAGCGUUGUCCGGAUUUAUUGGGCGUAAAGCGAGCGCAGGCGGUUUUUUAAGUCUGAUGUGAAAGCCUUCGGCUCAACCGAAGAAGUGCAUCGGAAACUGGGAAACUUGAGUGCAGAAGAGGACAGUGGAACUCCAUGUGUAGCGGUGAAAUGCGUAGAUAUAUGGAAGAACACCAGUGGCGAAGGCGGCUGUCUGGUCUGUAACUGACGCUGAGGCUCGAAAGUAUGGGUAGCAAACAGGAUUAGAUACCCUGGUAGUCCAUACCGUAAACGAUGAAUGCUAAGUGUUGGAGGGUUUCCGCCCUUCAGUGCUGCAGCUAACGCAUUAAGCAUUCCGCCUGGGGAGUACGGCCGCAAGGCUGAAACUCAAAGGAAUUGACGGGGGCCCGCACAAGCGGUGGAGCAUGUGGUUUAAUUCGAAGCUACGCGAAGAACCUUACCAGGUCUUGACAUACUAUGCAAAUCUAAGAGAUUAGACGUUCCCUUCGGGGACAUGGAUACAGGUGGUGCAUGGUUGUCGUCAGCUCGUGUCGUGAGAUGUUGGGUUAAGUCCCGCAACGAGCGCAACCCUUAUUAUCAGUUGCCAGCAUUAAGUUGGGCACUCUGGUGAGACUGCCGGUGACAAACCGGAGGAAGGUGGGGAUGACGUCAAAUCAUCAUGCCCCUUAUGACCUGGGCUACACACGUGCUACAAUGGAUGGUACAACGAGUUGCGAACUCGCGAGAGUAAGCUAAUCUCUUAAAGCCAUUCUCAGUUCGGAUUGUAGGCUGCAACUCGCCUACAUGAAGUCGGAAUCGCUAGUAAUCGCGGAUCAGCAUGCCGCGGUGAAUACGUUCCCGGGCCUUGUACACACCGCCCGUCACACCAUGAGAGUUUGUAACACCCAAAGUCGGUGGGGUAACCUUUUAGGAACCAGCCGCCUA
rnacentral:rRNA from 1 species